rnacentral:misc_RNA from 1 species
AACGCAUCUUGCACCCUUUGGUAUUCCAAAGGGUACGCCUGUUUCAGUAUCAUUAUAACCUUUCUCCCCAAGGCUUUUUGGCCAAGGAGGGAAAGAGCAUAACCGGUGGCCCAGCGGUCUCCCAUCAGGGGGGAUUGUCUCGGCUGGAAUGACUGUUGCAAUGGUGGGCCAAAUGGUCUCCCGCACUUGAUAAAUGUAACUUUUAUAAAGAGCGGGGCCGGUCUGCCGAAAGUUGUAACUAAACCCUUUACCUUUGAUCUGAAAUCAGGCGGGAUUACCCGCUGAACUUAA